GACGAACCGUGCGAACGUUGUUCGGAAUCACUGGGCUUAAAGGGCGCGUAGGCGGGCAAGCAAGUCAGGGGUGAAAGCCCACGGCUCAACCGUGGAAGUGCCUUUGAUACUGCUGGUCUGGAGGGAGGUAGGGGCGUGCGGAACUUCCGGUGGAGCGGUGAAAUGCGUAGAUAUCGGAAGGAACACCGGUGGCGAAAGCGGGUCUCUGGGCAACAACUGACGCUGAGGAGCGAAAGCGUGGGGAGCGAACAG
rnacentral:rRNA from 1 species